rnacentral:lncRNA from 1 species
AUAAUCAACCUUUGACUUAUUCGAUUAUCAAUUUUCGAUCCCGACCCCCAAACAAAUUCAAAUCCUUCAAUUACUCUAUUCACAUGAAUCAGUCAAUCAAUAUCAACCACAGUAAUCACGAUUGCUUGAACACAAUAUCAAAUCAUAUCCUCACAUCAUAACAUCAACCAAACACCAUAUUCGAUCCGAUACACCGAAUACCAUAACUAUUAAAAUAAAAGAGAAAGAGAAUAGAAUUGGACCUCAAGACGAAGCUUUCAAAAUCCAAUAUUACUUGAAUGAGAAAACGUAUUCCGCCACCGGAGACCUCGAAUUGAACCUCGACCCAACAAACCAGAGCUCGAUACACCCUUUUUCUCCAUUUUUGCCAACCCAAAUUGAAAACCCUAAAACGAAGGUAAAUAAGUACCAAAUUCUCGCUCCUGUUAUGGUUUCGAUCAUUUUUCGACUGACUUUUUUGGGAUCGACACUGGUUGAUCCAAUUUUGGUCGCUCACCCGUGGAUUUUGUCCCUUUUCGGUGAAUGGUCGACGGAAUCAGUACUAGAGGGGGUCGAAUUCAGGUCAAAACGGAGCUGGUGGUGUUUCCUGGCCACUAAUUCCGUCGUAACAGUGAUGAAACAUCCAUGAAAAGUGUUUUUCGAUGAGGUUCGAAUAGAAUUAAUGGAGGAGGAAGCGAUAUUCCGAUUAGAUUUGGCCGAAAAGGGUCGCUUGUUUGUGAUUUAUCGGUGGAUUUGGUCAUGGGGUAGGUCAUUUUUGACGAGAGAUGGUGGAUUCCAGCGAUCAAUUUGUCAGAAAACUCAAACUAGUCGGCUGGGAUGCCUCCGUUCUGUAUUUUUGCCCUUCCCACUCUAUUCCUCUCUCUCGCACUGUCCUAAUCUCUCUCUCAUCUUCCUACUCUCACCCCUCUUCUAAUGGUGUUCUCUCCUCUCUUCUUUAAUGGAGUGCCUUUCAGGAGGAUGAUGGUGUAGGCAUAUUAGUGAGUAAGGGAUGUGUACGUGAUGAGUGUGUGACUAUUCCUUGAGGGCCAGUCAGGAUUUUUAUGGAUUUUGUUGUUAAUGGAGAAUGGGGUCUCAAUUCUGUGUGUGUUCAAGUGUGAGUGGAGUCUCAAUUGGAGAAGAUGAGAUAAUCCAUGAUGGUUCCUAUUCUGUUAUUUUCCAUAGAAUCAACUUGUGGGGCCUCUUUUUUUGUAUUUUGUUGUUAGUGUAUUGUUUAUAAUAAUUAUUUCCAAUGAAAGAAAUAAAAUACGAAUGGGGUCGGUUGGGGUGAGUAGGUAGGAGGUUAGGUUGUUAGGAUAAGAUAAAUUUUGUUAAGUGUCAUUAUUUUUGUCAUUUUCUGUAGGGAUAAUUACAUGGGGUAGGGCAUGUGGUAUGACGAGGAUAAAAAUAUGUAACUUGGGUCUUCAGGAGGGACAAAAUUAGGUGUCUACAUCAUGCUCCCUUUGAAUGUAAACAAAAAGUGUUUUCAGACAAAGAAGUAGACAACGAGACAGAAUUUUGACCCGACCAUUAUUCAAAAGAAGGAACAGAAGGAAGAAGGACAACCGAGUCUUGACUUAGGACAACCUACCUACCCAAGUUAUGGAGGAAUCAAGUGACCGGUAUUUCAAAAGAUUUGAAAAAGAAGAACUAUACCGAGUUGGAGAGUCGAGUGAGUUUCCAUCGAGGUUCCGAUCCGUGGCUCUGUCAUUACAUCAAAAUGAAAAUUACAAGUUAAACAUAAAUGAAAAUUACAAAAAUUCUAUCUACGCAGCUUCUAUUGGACUCUUGACUUGAGUUUCAUCACCGUAUUCUUCAGGCGGGCUCCUGAUUUGAAAUUUCUUCAACUUGUUACUUGGUUUUCAAUUUCAACACCCUAUUCUCCAGGCAGACUCCUGACUUGCUAUUUUCGAUCUGUUGACUUUCAUUUUCUUCACUUUGUUACUUGACUUUCAACUUCUUCACCUUUUUGCUUGACUUUCAAUUUCUUCACCUAGCUGCUUGACUUUCUAUUUAUUAGCCCUGUGUUUCGGGCGGACUCCUAAAAUCACAUCAAAACUUGAAAGAAAAUUAUACCAAACAAAGAUUUUUAUAAAAAGAUUUCAUAUGCCAGGAAAGUGAAGUUCCAACAUAAGAAUUAAAUUUUGCCCCAGUUUAUCAUCAAAGGACUUUUGCGAAAGUCACAUAUUAUAGGAAUCAAGGAGAAUGACUCGACUAUAAGGUGCGUCUGAUAGGAAUCAAAGGAAUUGACUCGACUAAAAGGUACGUCUUCUAGGGGUCAAGGAGAAUUACUCGACUAAAAGGUACAUCUUAUAGGAAUCAAGGGAGAUGACUCGACUAAAAGGUACGUCUUACUAGGAAUCAAGGGAGAUGACUCGACUAAAAGGUACGUCUUAUAGGAAUCAAAGGGAAUAAAUCGACUAAAAGGUACGUCUUCUAGGGGCCAAAGGGAAUGAAUCGACUAAAAGGUAUGUCUUAUAGGAAUCAAAGGGAAUAACUCGACUAAAAGGUACGUCUUAUAGGAAUCAAAGUAGAUGACUCAACUAAAAUGUACGUCUUAUAGGAAUCAAAGGAAAUGACUCAACUAAAAGGUACGUUUUAUAGGAAUCAAAAGAGAUGAAUAGACUAAAAGGUACGUCUUCUAGGAAUCAAGGGGGACGACUCGACUAAAAGGUACGUCUUAUAGUAAUCAAAGGGGGAUGACUCGAUUAAAAGGUACGUCUUAUAGGAAUUAAGGGAAAUGAAUUGACUAAAAGGUACGUCUUUUAAGAGUCAAGAGGAAUGUCUUGACUAGAAGGUACGUUUCCUAGGAGUGAAGGUUCAAUUUAAGAAGUGUAUCACCUAGCAAAUGAAAACUGAAAUCCCUGGACAAGUGUGUCUCCGAGGGAUAUAGGAUGAUGAAUUUUUACCAUGAUUUUAUUAUCAAACCUGUGCAUCAAUAUUGCUUUCUGCAUUUUUAAAAGUGAGGCAUUGCAACCCUUGAUGUUUAUGCUCUGAAGUCCCUGCUUUGAAGGUAAUCUGUUUCCUGUUACAUCAAAGAAAACUUGUGAGUUUAAAACAUGGUGGCUGGUUUAUGGCUUUAGCUUUAGCGGAGAUCGCUCUUGCCCUUGUCAUAUUUAAACUUGCUUCCAAUCAUUAACAUAUAUCAUUGACUUGCUGAAUCAUUGACCCGAACUAAGAUUAUUAAGAGUGAUUGAAACAAAAACAGUAUCUCUGCUUUGCGAUGCUUCUAAGAUAGACCCUUUGAACCUUGGUAUUUCCAUGAGUUCCUCAACUUAUCUAUUGACAAAACUUUCUGCAUGCCCUUUUUUUUCGGCUCACAAUAAUGUCUCUUUCAUGUGCUAGCUUUUGUCUUGCUUUGUGAAAUUAAAGAAGCUGGUAUCCAGUUUUAAAAUUUUUUCUCACUUGUUUUGACAGGGAUUUGACUCAAAGAUAAGAAAGAAAAAAAAUAAUAACAAUUUUUUUUAUUCGGAUAACUGACUCAAGAAAGAUAAAACAAAAAUAAAAAAAAAGAAAGAAAAGACAAUGAAUGUUCCUAUUUGAAACAAAGAAACGAAAAAUUCAUCUAAAAAUGAUAGUCAACUCUAAUGAUUAUGCCAUGCAUUUUGGAUUAAGCAACUUGAUCUUUUCAUCCAAACUUUCUACCAAUUGUUGUUGAGUUAAUGGCCUUGAAACUGAGUUGCUUUCUUAGGCCAAAUUCAUUCAGAAACCUCAUUCGGCUAGUGGUGCCUUGAAGGGUUUUUGCCAACAAACUUGUUUCUUUCUCUCAGCUCACCAUUGCCUUGUGGUGCCCGUGAGGGUUUUCACUAAUAAGACUCUCUCAUUUUUAUUUCUCUCAACUUACUAUCGCCUUACGGUAUCAGUGAGGGUUUUAACUAAUAAGACUCUCUCAUUUUUAUUUCUCUCCUGAUUUCUUAUGCUGAGGAAGACAAGUAGUACCCAAAAUACAUCAUCAUAUCCAUUGCAUACUUAGCCUUAGCAUUUUCAAAGAUUAAUCUGAAGGUCUUUCUUUGGUUGUAACUUGACUUUUGGAUAAGUUUAGGAAGAAGGGAUGACAUGAGUCCCAAAUAACACUUGAAGUGGUGUAGGACUUACAACUUUUGGAAUAGACUCAAAAAAUGAGGAUUAACUCAUGCCUCAGUUUCUUUUGACUGGGUAAUUCUAAAUUGUUUAUUUGGUUGGACCGAGCCUGGAGUAGGGCAGCCUACGUAUCUCACCCCCGAAAGAGGAGAAUCAGGUCACGCAUAGUUCCGACAGCUUGUUCUUUUGCUUGAUUAUGAUUUUUUUCUUUUUUUUCUUUUGUUGACUCUUUUAUUGACUUUUUUUUUGCUUUUUAGGACCUUCUGACUCUAUUUUUUUCUUGAUGCUCUUUUCUUUUCCUUUUUUUGGACACAUUUUUUCUCUGAUUUCUUUUUGAAACUUUUUGACUCUGUUGUUUUGCUCGACACUUUUUCUUUUAAGCUUUGCUGAUUCUAUCUUGAUUCCAAAAGAGACGUAUGAAAGAAAAUAACACUAAGGCUCAAAUGGGGUAAACAAAGAACGACACAAUGUUUGAAUAGCAGAAUGAAACGCCUUCGUCAUAUCAAUCCUUGAAGAUGCUAGUAUAUAGCAUGGAAUGUAAAAGUACACGAUCAAUAUCACUCAUGACAUAUUUUACAACACUAACUUUCCCCGAGCAUAUGUGCCACCUUUUCUUCUACACUUGUCGAAUAUACAACUCCACCUUUGUUGUACAUCCCUCACAUUGAAUGACUCAUGCUUUCGUAGAGUUGAUUUUCUUUUUGUUCCUCUUGAUAGGAUUACGCAGACACUGUUUGACCUAACUAAGACAUGUCUUUCAAUUGAUGAUCAAGUUAUUCUUGUGAUUCUCAAAAUAAUUGCCUUAAUUUUCAAAGAAGGCUUGAACUUGUCACCAAAUGUCUCAGAACUCUACCUAUUUUCUCAGAUGCUCUCUUUCCUAACUUUAACUCUCUAAUUCAAUGUUCAUGCUCAAACUGGAUUUUAAGAUCUGACUGAAAAUUCCGCAGGCAUGUCAUAUCACUAGAAUCAACAUAAAAUAUACUGUAUAAAGAAAACAAACAAACAACACAUAUUUGAAACAUAAAAGGAAAGGGACACUUCAUUUAGUUAAAAUAAAAGAUAAAAGGGUUUGAACAUAAACGACAAAGGGACAAAAUAAGAUAGAUCCCGAACUAAAACCCUAAAAUACUCCAGAAAAUAAAAAAUAAAACAAAACAAACUACCAAACCUCUUCCUAGUAGGGAGAUGGGUGACUUCUCAAUUGCUUAGCCUGACAACUUAGCCACUGGUUUGCAUAUCAACAUGACUAGAGCUUUCCUCACUAUCAAUGUUCUGCACCAUAAUCGAUCCAUCUUGAAUUAUAUUUUCAAUUUCUCUUUUCAAAUCUCGACAGUCUUCAAUACCAUGACCCUGAGCAUCAGAAUGAUACGCACAUCGUGCAUUAGGAUCAAAAUUUCUUGAACGCCGAUUAAGAGUAAACCUAAGGAGAGGAGUGAUUAUGCCCCAUUGUACCAAUAUCUAAAAUAAACUGGCAUACGACUCUCCAAUUGGUGUAAACUAUCUCUCGACUUUUUCCUCAUUUCAUCAUUUGACUUGGAUCAAAAAUCAGGCUUAGAAGAGUUUUGGUAUGUUUGUGGAGUUAGAGGAUAACUCUGAGGAGUUGGUGUGUUCCACUAUUGGUAAGAUGAGGGUUGAAUAUGUGGUUGUACGUUAUAUACUGGAUAUGGAGGGGGAGGAGCAUAGUAUAAAGGAUUUUGGGAGUGAUUAUAUAAAGCUUGGGCAUGAACUUGGGCUUGUGCCUGAGAGUGACGACGACGUGGUCUUCUUGACCUUUCCUGUUGUCCAACUACAAUAGCAGAUGCAUCUUCCUCAUUCUUUUUCUCCCCAACACUUCCUGAACCCUUUUGAAUUGCUUGAUUAGUCGCUUUCAAUGUUGCAAAACUCACAAUGCGACCAGUCUUAAUUCCCUCUUCUAUCAUCUCCCCCAUUUUAAGGACCUUUAUAAACGGCUUUCUUUCAUUGGCGGUUUUACUCUAGCAGCUUGUUCGCGACAUCUGAUCACAUACUCUAUGAAACUCAGUAUUCUUCUUCUUCUUCAUACUGGUUAGGGAUUUUUCGUCAGUGAUCAACUCCACAUUGUAUUGAAAUUGUUUCACAAAUUCAUUAGCUAGGUCAUCCCAACUAAUUCACUUGUCGAUGUCUUGGUCAAUAAACCAUUCCGAAGCUAGGCCAGAAAAACUCUCCUCAAAAUAAGCCACGAGUAGUUCUUUCUUCCCUCAGUGCCUCUUAAUUGGUUACAAUAACACCUCAAAUGUGUCAUUGGAUCUCCGUGUCCAUCAUAUUUCUCAAACUUUGGCAUUUUAAAAUCAAGAGGGAGAUGAACACCCGGAAACAUGCUCAGAUCUUUAUAUGAGACACUUUUGUAACCCCCAAGUCCUUGCAAGUUCUUCAUAGCCAGUUCCAAACUUCUCAAUUUUCUGGUCAUUUCCUCUUGUUCUUCUAUCAUAACAAGCUUCUUAGUGUUAGGAAGAAAUUCAGGCGGGUGAGUGUCACCAUAAAGACCAGUCAACUUGAAUGUAGGCUCGAAAGUGUAACGCUGAUCACCAAUAAUAUUCAAUACAAGCUCUCUUGUAGAGUAGGGAGGCACAACUUGUGGAUGAACAUCAAAAGUAGGAGUUUCACGUGGGGUGGCACCACAAAAUCAUGAACAACAGGUGGAGACGAGUAUGUGGUAGUCUUGGAUUGGGGAGUGAGAAAAUGAACAUUGGAUGUGCUUGGAUAUUGUUGCCCCAGAGUCGAUCCUGAUGCAUGUUGUGGCAUAUCAACAAAAAUGGAAAAUUGUGCAUGCGACACGGGAAACAAGCUAGAAAGAUAUUUUAGAUUAUCAAUGGGAACUGGAGGAGGCGGCAACCCAUUAGCCUAAGCUCGACGCAUUUCUAUCAUCUGCUGUCUUAAUUUCCGAAUCUCUUUAUUAUCUCCUAAAUUCUCAUUUCUCGAACUCCCUAUCUGAUUAGUGACAACAAACUCGAUAUCCUUGUUGGCCAUAACUUUUUCUAUGACUUGGUGCAAUAUGGGGGACCAUCCAAAAUGCCACAAACCAACCACCUUAAACUAACUGAACAAGAGAUAGCAAAUGCAUUAGAAUUCAACACUUUUUCUUCAAAACCUUUUUUUUCUUUUUGAAAAGAACACCGAACCCAAGAAGGGCGCCUACGUAUCUCACUCCCGAGAGAGGAGAAUCAGGUGUGUGUAGUUCGUGAAGUCUUGCCAAAAUGGCUAAUUAAUUCUUUUUCCUUUCUUUUUUUUCUUGAAACUUUAAAAAGAAAAGGAAAUAACAAAUUGUCAAAAGAAUUGACAAUUUUAUUUUCUUUUUUCUUUUUGUAUUUUCAAUUUUAAACUCCCUAUACAAAAUGAAACCUAUGAUUACCAAAGAAUUUUUUUUUUUGGAUUUUCGAUAUUGAAUUUCAUAUGAAAAUGAAACAUGAACCUAUUAAAGGAAUUUUUUUUUUGUAGUUUUAUUUUAAAGAUGUAUAUGAAACACCUACUCUAAUAAAGAGUGAAGAAAAUCUCUUUUUCUGGAACUUUUCAAAUAAGAUACCCGAACCAACAAUAGGAUGCCUACGUAUCUCACUCCUGAGAGAGAAGAAUCAGGGGUGCGUAGUUCGUCCAGAUUGGACAAUUAAGGAUUAAUUAACAAACUACACCAAACUUGAGAGGCACGACCAAAGACUAACUAUGAAAAAUGUUAAUAAAAUCUUUUUUAGAGUUUUCAACUUGACACUUCAAAUAAAAAUGACACCAACAAUUAUGAAAGAAAAAAUCUUUUUGGUAUUUGCAUUACAUGAAAUGUAAAAUUUUCUACCAUUUUUUGCAUUUUCUUUUAUAAAAACUGCUAAAUUUUUUUUUUUUUGAAAAUUUCGAAUUAUGAAUGCAUGCUAAAGGAGACAAAGUGAGAAAUUUUCUUGAUGUUUUGGCUUUUGAACAAAUGAGUGCAAAAAAUAAAGAAAUCUUUUUGAAAUUUUGAAUCGUUGAAAAACAAAAGCCAUAAAGAACUCUAAAACUACGAAACUCUUUUUUUCUAUUCGACUCACUUUUCUUUUCUCAUUUUUUUUCACUUUACUUCUAACACAAGUUUUCCCCAAAUCAAUCUGUCAAAUGACAAUAUUUAGCACGUAGGGAUGCUUUAGAGGUGAGUCUCCUACAAAGGACUAAGUAGGACCCGCUAGGUCUUCAAUAUGAUGCACAUAAGCAUGACCUAAAGGCUGACCUACGUUGGGGUUCACUAACAAGGCUGUUCGGGGGAGCGUAUGGUCGAUAGGGGAUCUUUGCUUUCCACCUACUCCAUAACACCGACGGAUUCCCCCUAAAAUAAGGGUGACUCAACUAGAGGUCGUGUACAACACGUGUACUAUAGACUUGUUGCAGAAAGAAUGACUCGGGUUAUGCACAUAAUGCCAUAUAUAAAACGGUAACACACAAAAUAAAACUGUAAACAAAGAGCACGUAGACACUCAACAAUGAUAAACAAUAACACAAAAUAACACAAACAAUAUCUAUACACCCAAAAUGUCAAACAAAGCCGAUACAACUCAAAAAAAUUAGCUCAAAUUCUGAAAACUCCCCAGCAGAGUCGCCAGAGCUGUCACACCUCAUUUUUUACUCCAAAAAGAUUAUUUAAGGUUCGAAAGGGUUUUCAUUAUUAAAGUGACAAAAAAUGAAAAUUUUGUUUCAAAAAGGAUUAUUUACAUUUAAACUCAGAGUCACCACUUGACAUAAUUGGGUGUGCCAAGUCAUAUUAGGAAAAUCCUUUUCGAAAUAAUUUGACACUUAAAAAGACUGAUUUGCGAAUAGAGAUUUCGGCUAAGGAAUUCUGUUGACUGAGGGGAAGGUAGUAGGCACCCCUCGAUCCCGUGGUUCGAUCAUGGUCUCUUGGUGAAGCGUAUCGUCUCAUUUUGACACUAUGAAUGUACAAACCACACAAAAACACGUAAAACAGUCAAACAAACAAACAAAAGAAAAACUAAUCAAAAGUACAGUAUCCAGUCCAAUUUAUACAGUCCAAAAUAGAAAAAUACAAAAAUAAACCCUAUCUAACCUACACUAAUACUAACUACACUCCCUUGCUUUACCCGAUGCCUCGGGACUUCCUCACGAACGUCUUUUGCCAACAUAGUACGUCGGGACAUUCCCCGGUGAAUAAAUCAAGGUGUAUCGGGGCAUUCCCCGGCUAAAUAAAUACAUUUGAAUUAAAUAUGAUAAACUAGAAACCAAACAUUCACACGUGCAUUAAACAUUCAAAACAUUUAAUAAACACAUCACUCCUAAAUAUUUGCCUACCCAAACCUACUUUUAGCUAUUCAUUCGAUGACCUAAUCAUGAUGCUAGCCAAUUCAACAGUAUCCAGUAAUGAAUCAAAAUAAUCAACCUUCGACUUAUUCGAUUAUCAAUUUUCAAUCCUGACCCCCAAACAAAUUCAAAUCCUUUAAUUACUCUAUUCACAUGAAUCAGUCAAUCAAUAUCAACCAUAGUAAUCACGAUUGCUUGAACACAAUAUCAAAACAUAUCCUCACAUCAUAACAUCAACCAAAUGCCAUAUUUGAUCCGAUACACCGAAUACCAUAACUAUUAAAAUAAAAGAGAAAGAGAAAAGAAUUGGACCUCAAGACGAAGCUUUCAAAAUCCAAUAUUACUUGAAUGAGAAGACGUAUUCCGCCACCGGAGACCUCGAAUUGAACCUCGACCCAACAAACCGGAGCUCAAUACACCCCUUUUCUCCAUUUUCGCCAACCCAAAUUGAAAACCCCAAAACGAAGGUAAAUUAGUACCAAAUUCUCGUGCCUAUUACGGUUUUGAUCAUUUUUCGAUUGACUUCAUCGGGAUCGAGACUGAUUGAACCAAUUUUGGUCGCUCAACCAUAGAUUUUGUCCCUUUUCGGUGAAUGGUCAUCGGAAUCAGUACUAGAGGAGGUCAGAUUCAAGUCGGAGUGAAGCUGGUGGUGUUUCCUGGCCACUAAUUCUGCCAUAACAAUGAUGAAACAGCCAUGAAAAGUGUUUUUUGAUGAGGUUCAAACAGAAUUAAUGGAGGAGGAAGAAAUAUUUCGAUUGAAUUUGGCCGAAAAUGGUCGCUUGUUUGUGAUUUAUUGCUGGAUUUGGUCGUGUGGUAGGUCAUUUUUGGUGAGAGAUGGAAGAUUUGGGCAAUCAAUUCGCUGAAAACCUCAAACCAGUCGGCUGGGAUGCCUCUGUUCUGUAUUCUUUCCCUUCUCACUCUAUUCCUCUUUCUCUCGCACUGUCCCAAUCUCUUUCCCCCGUCUCAAUCUCUCUCUCGUCUCCCUACUCUCACCCCCUUCCAAUGGUAUUCUCUCCUCUCUUCUUUAAUGGAGUGCCUUUCAGGAGGAUGAUGGUGUAGGCGUAUUAGUGAGAAAGGGGUGUGUAUGUGAUGAGUGUGUGACCA